GAUGAACGCUAGCGGCGGGCUUAAUACAUGCAAGUCGAGGGCAGCAUGGGUAGCAAUACCUGAUGGCGACCGGCAAACGGGUGCGGAACACGUACGCAACCUUCCCAUAACUGGUGAAUAGCCCUCCGAAAGGAGGAUUAAUACACCGUAACAUAAUAGAGUGGCAUCACUUUAUAUUAUAGGCUUCGGCCGGUUUUGGAUGGGCGUGCGCCUGAUUAGGUAGUUGGCGGGGUAACGCCCACCAAGCCUACGAUCAGUAACUGGUGUGAGAGCACGACCAGUCACACGGGCACUGAGACACGGGCCCGACUCCUACGGGAGGCAGCAGUAAGGAAUAUUGGUCAAUGGACGAAAGUCUGAACCAGCCAUGCCGCGUGGAGGAUGAAGGCCCUCUGGGUUGUAAACUUCUUUUAUCUGGGACGAAAAAUGGGAAUUCUUUCUCACUUGACGGUACCAGAGGAAUAAGCACCGGCUAACUCCGUGCCAGCAGCCG
rnacentral:rRNA from 1 species